rnacentral:rRNA from 1 species
GUGAGGAAUAUUGGUCAAUGGGCGCGAGCCUGAACCAGCCAAGUAGCGUGAGGGAUGACUGCCCUAUGGGUUGUAAACCUCUUUUGCAGGGGGGUAAAGUGGUUCACGUGUGGACCAUUGCAAGUACCCUGCGAAUAAGGAUCGGCUAACUCCGUGCCAGCAGCCGCGGUAAUACGGAGGAUCCGAGCGUUAUCCGGAUUUAUUGGGUUUAAAGGGAGCGUAGGCGGGGGUUUAAGUCAGCUGUGAAAUGCCGUGGCCCAACCAUGGAACUGCAGUUGAAACUGGACCUCUUGAGAGUACAUAAGGAAGGCGGAAUUCGUGGUGUAGCGGUGAAAUGCAUAGAUAUCACGUAGAACUCCGAUUGCGAAGGCAGCUUUCCGGGGUACAUCUGACGCUGAAGCUCGAAAGUGCGGGAAUCAAACAGGAUUAGAAACCCGUGUAGUCC